UCUGGAGGCAAUAAAAAAUGCUCCCGGUUGUAUACAUCCAGUGGUUUCUCGAGUUUUACCUUAUAUUGGGCCCAUUUUAAAUAACCCACAACAGCAGCCAGAGGGUUUAGUUGCUGCUUCACUUGAUCUCGUGACAAUGUUGCUGAAGAGUGCCCCAACUGACAUUGUAAAGGCGGUGUAUGAAGUCUCUUUUGAUCCUGUUGUUCGUAUAGUCCUUAAAAGUGAUGAUCAUAGUGAAAUGCAGAAUGCAACACAGUGCUUAGCUGCUCUUAUAUCUGUGGGGAAAGAAGAAUUGCUUGCUUGGGGUGGUGAUACUGCGUUUGCAAUGAGAAGUUUGCUUGAUGUGGCUUCAAGGCUUCUAGACCCUGAUCUUGAAAGUUCUGGAGCACUUUUUGUUGGGAGCUAUAUCCUGCAACUUAUUCUGCAUCUCCCUUCACAAAUGGCCCAACAUAUCAGAGACCUGGUUGCUGCUCUUUUGAGGCGCAUGCAAUCUUGUAAACUUUCUGGGUUAAGAAGCUCUUUGUUGGUUAUAUUUGCCAGAUUGGUCCACAUGAGUGCUCCUCAUGUUGAACAAUUUAUUGAGAUGUUGGUCUCAAUCCCAGCAGAAGGUCAUCC
rnacentral:misc_RNA from 1 species